GUGGCUGCCUCAGCAGCACAUAUACUGAAGUUGGAAUGAUAUAGAGAUUAGCAUGGCCCCUGUGCAAUGAGGACACACAAAUUUGUGAGGCAUUCCAUAAGAGA
ensembl:snRNA U6 U6 spliceosomal RNA